rnacentral:rRNA from 1 species
AGUGAACGCUGGCGGCAGGCCUAACACAUGCAAGUCGAGCGGCAGCGCGGGGGCAACCCUGGCGGCGAGCGGCGGACGGGUGAGGAAUUCGUCGGAAUCUGCCUUUUUGUGGGGGAUAACGUAGGGAAACUUACGCUAAUACCGCAUACGUCCUACGGGAGAAAGUGGGGGACCGCAAGGCCUCACGCAGAAAGAUGAGCCGACGACCGAUUAGCUAGUUGGUGGGGUAAAGGCCCACCAGGGCGACGAUCGGUAGCUGGUCUGAGAGGAUGAUCAGCCACACUGGGACUGAGACACGGCCCAGACUCCUACGGGAGGCAGCAGUGGGGAAUAUUGGACAAUGGGCGCAAGCCUGAUCCAGCCAUGCCGCGUGUGUGAAGAAGGCCUUCGGGUUGUAAAGCACUUUUGUCCGGAAAGAAAUCCCUGGAGCUAAUACCUUCGGGGGAUGACGGUACCGGAAGAAUAAGCACCGGCUAACUUCGUG